UACGUAGGGUGCGAGCGUUAAUCGGAAUUACUGGGCGUAAAGCGUGCGCAGGCGGCUUUGUAAGCCAGAUGUGAAAUCCCCGGGCUUAACCUGGGAAUGGCAUUUGGGACUGCAAGGCUUGAGUGCGGCAGAGGGGGAUGGAAUUCCGCGUGUAGCAGUGAAAUGCGUAGAUAUGCGGAGGAACACCGAUGGCGAAGGCAGCCCCCUGGGUCAAGAUUGACGCUCAUGCACGAAAGCGUGGGGAGCAAACAGG
rnacentral:rRNA from 1 species